rnacentral:rRNA from 1 species
GAUGAACGCUGGCGGCGUGCCUAAUACAUGCAAGUCGAGCGAACAGACGAGGAUCUUGCUCCUCUGACGUUAGCGGCGGACGUGUGAGUAACACGUGUAUAACCUACCUAUAAGACUGGGAUAACUUCGGGAAACCGGAGCUAAUACCGGAUAAUAUAUUGAACCGCAUGGUUCAAUAGUGAAAGACGGUUUUGCUGUCUCUUAUAGAUGGUUCCGCGCUGCAUGAGCUAGUUGGUAAGGUAACUGCUUAUCAAGGCAACGAUGCGUAGACGAACGGAGAGGGUGAUAGGCCACACGGGAACUGAGACACGGUCCAGACUACUACGGGAGGCAGCAGUAGGGAAUCUUACGCAAUGGGCGAAAGCCUGACGGAGCAACGCCGCGUGAGUGAUGAAGGUCUUCGGAUCGUAAAACUCUGUUAUUAGGGAAGAACAAAUGUGUACGUAACUAUGCACGUCUUGACGGUAACUAAUAAGAAAGCAACGGCUAACUACGUG